UUUCCGUAGGUGAACCUGCGGAAGGAUCAUUAUUGAAUAACAGAGCUGCGAGGGCUGUUGAUGACCCGAAUGGUCGUACACGCCCGAGUGCCUUCACAUACAUCCAUCUCACCUCUAUGUGCACCACCGCGUGGGUCCUCCUAUGGUUUGUUCGUAGGUGGGGCCUACGUACACAGACACACUUUGUAUGCACUGUAGAAUGUAUUUUUUGUUUUUGCGAUCACGCAAUCAAUAACACUUUUAACAAUGGAUCUAUUGGCACUCGCUCCGAUGAAUAAA
rnacentral:misc_RNA from 1 species